GACGAACGCUGGCGGCGUGCUUAACACACGCAAGUCGAACGGAAAGGCCCUGCUUUUGUGGGGUGCUCGAGUGGCGAACGGGUGAGUAACACGUGAGUAACCUGCCCUUGACUUUGGGAUAACUUCAGGAAACUGGGGCUAAUACCGGAUAGGAGCUCCUGCUGCAUGGUGGGGGUUGGAAAGUUUCGGCGGUUGGGGAUGGACUCGCGGCUUAUCAGCUUGUUGGUGGGGUAGUGGCUUACCAAGGCUUUGACGGGUAGCCGGCCUGAGAGGGUGACCGGCCACAUUGGGACUGAGGUACGGCCCAGACUCCUACGGGAGGCAGCAGUGGGGAAUAUUGCACAAUGGGCGGAAGCCUGAUGCAGCAACGCCGCGUGCGGGAUGACGGCCUUCGGGUUGUAAACCGCUUUCGCCUGUGACGAAGCGUGAGUGACGGUAAUGGGUAAAGAAGCACCGGCUAACUACGUGCCAGCAGCCGCGGUGAUACGUAGGGUGCGAGCGUUGUCCGGAUUUAUUGGGCGUAAAGGGCUCGUAGGUGGUUGAUCGCGUCGGAAGUGUGAUCUUGGGGCUUAACCCUGAGCGUGCUUUCGAUACGGGUUGACUUGAGGAAGGUAGGGGAGAAUGGAAUUCCUGGUGGAGCGGUGGAAUGCGCAGAUAUCAGGAGGAACACCAGUGGCGAAGGCGGUUCUCUGGGCCUUUCCUGACGCUGAGGAGCGAAAACGUGGGGAGCGAACAGGCUUAGAUACCCUGGUAGUCCACGCUGUAAACGGUGGGUACUAGGUGUGGGGUCCAUUCCACGGGUUCCGUGCCGUAGCUAACGCUUUAAGUACCCCGCCUGGGGAGUACGGCCGCAAGGCUAAAACUCAAAGGAAUUGACGGGGCCCCGCACAAGCGGCGGAGCAUGCGGAUUAAUUCGAUGCAACGCGUAGAACCUUACCUGGGUUUGACAUGGAUCGGGAGUGCUCAGAGAUGGGUGUGCCUCUUUUGGGGUCGGUUCACAGGUGGUGCAUGGCUGUCGUCAGCUCGUGUCGUGAGAUGUUGGGUUAAGUCCCGCAACGAGCGCAACCCUUGUUCACUGUUGCCAGCACGUUAUGGUGGGGACUCAGUGGAGACCGCCGGGGUCAACUCGGAGGAAGGUGGGGAUGACGUCAAGUCAUCAUGCCCCUUAUGUCCAGGGCUUCACGCAUGCUACAAUGGCUGGUACAGAGAGUGGCGAGCCUGUGAGGGUGAGCGAAUCUCGGAAAGCCGGUCUCAGUUCGGAUUGGGGUCUGCAACUCGACCUCAUGAAGUCGGAGUCGCUAGUAAUCGCAGAUCAGCAACGCUGCGGUGAAUACGUUCCCGGG
rnacentral:rRNA from 1 species